rnacentral:rRNA from 1 species
GACGAACGCUGGCGGCGUGCUUAACACAUGCAAGUCGAACGGAAAGGCCCUGCUUUUGUCGCGUGCUCGUGUGGCGAAAGUGUGACUAACACGGGCGUCACCUGCCCUUGCUUUUGGGAUAAUUUCAGGACACUGGGCCUAUUACCGUCUGGGAGCUCCCGCUGCACGGUGUGGGUUGGUGAGGUUCGGCGGUUGGGUAUGUGCUCGCUGCUGAUUUGCUUGUUGUUGGGGUGUUGGCAUACGACGGCUUUGACGGGUAGCCGGCCUGAGAGGGUGACCGGCCACACUGGGAAUGAGAAACGGCACAGACUCCAACGGGAGGCAGCAGUGGGGAAGAUUGAACAAUGGGCGGAAGCCUGAUGCAGCAACGCCGCGUGCGGGAUGACGGCCUUCGGGUUGUAAACCGCUUUCCGCUGUAACGUAGCGUGAGUGACGGUAAUGGUUGAAGAAGCGCCGGAUAACUACGUG